rnacentral:lncRNA from 1 species
GGAGACUUUCGUCUCUGUCUGGGAGUUUCGGCCGCCGAAGGUGCCGCCGAACAUGCAUGAGUUUCGUCUCUGUCUGGGAGUUUCGGCCGCCGAAGGUGCCGCCGAACCUGCCUGACUUUCGGCUCUGGAGGGACUUUCGGCCGCCGAACCUGCCGCCGAAAGUGCCCUGUCCAGCCAUUUCUUGCAUGUUGUUAUGUAAUUGUUUCAGGAUGUUUUAGGGGGUUUUUGGGGAGUAUAUUAGAAUUAUGUUCAUGUAUGUUUGGUCCCUCAUUGGAGUCCACCUGUGUAGGUUCGGACCCGAGGAACCGAGGACCCCAGCAGUGAGCCAGCUGCUACCGAGUUUGUCAGAGCCAGCCAGAGGUGAGUGGAAUAAACCUUAAGUUUUAAAAUAAAUGAAAUAUGAAUUUUGAGCAUGAUUCAUGCAUCAUGAAUGCCAUGAGAUAUAAUAGGUUGCUUGCAUUAGUAUUCACGAAUAUGUUGCAUUGCAUUUAUGAUGUUAAUGUUGAUGUGGAUUGGUUAUUGGAUGAUCCUUUAGUCCUCAUAUGAUAUGAUUGAUGAUAUGGCAUGUUAUGGUAUGGAAGUCCAGGUUGUACCCAUUCUACGUCCCUGGCACGAUGUAAGAGAAAGUCCAGGUUGUACCCAUUCUACGUCCCUGGCACAGUUGGUCCAUAUGAUAUGUUAUGAUAAGGGAAAGACCGGUUGACCCAUUCUACGUCCCGGCACAGUUGGACCUAUGUAGAGGACUAUAGGUGACAAUACCAUCCGAGAUGUGAUUUGUUGUGAUGUGUUGCAUUCCAUGAAAG